rnacentral:rRNA from 1 species
GGAAUCUUCCACAAUGGACGAAAGUCUGAUGGAGCAACGCCGCGUGAGUGAUGAAGGUUUUCGGAUCGUAAAACUCUGUUGUAAGGGAAGAACAGGCAUGAGAGGUAAUGCUCAUGCUAUGACGGUACCUUACGAGAAAGCCACGGCUAACUACGUGCCAGCAGCCGCGGUAAUACGUAGGUGGCAAGCGUUGUCCGGAAUUAUUGGGCGUAAAGCGCGCGCAGGCGGCCUUUUAAGUCUGAUGUGAAAGCCCCCGGCUCAACCGGGGAGGGUCAUUGGAAACUGGAAGGCUUGAGUACAGAAGAGAAGAGUGGAAUUCCAUGUGUAGCGGUGAAAUGCGUAGAGAUGUGGAGGAACACCAGUGGCGAAGGCGACUCUUUGGUCUGUAACUGACGCUGAGGCGCGAAAGCGUGGGGAGCAAACAGGAUUAGAUACCCUUG